UACGUAGGGACCGAGCGUUGUCCGGAAUCAUUGGGCGUAAAGAGCGUGUAGGCGGCCUUUUAAGUCCUGCGUGAAAUCCUGCGGCUCAACCGCAGACGGUCGUGGGAAACUGGAAGGCUAGAGUGCGGGAGAGGAGAGUGGAAUUCCCGGUGUAGCGGUGAAAUGCGCAGAUAUCGGGAAAAACACCCGUGGCGAAGGCGGCUCUCUGGAACGCAACUGACGCUGAGACGCGAAAGCGUGGGGAGCAAACAGG
rnacentral:rRNA from 1 species